CUGAAUGGCGCUCAGAUCACAUACAUACAGUUCAAUUGCCAUGGAGCCAAAGUCUUUCACAUUGUCUUUGGUUAUACGAAUGGGCUCCAUGGCAUAGCUAUCUGGGGUAACACUGCUCACAUAGGGAAAGUACCGAAUGACCUGGCUUUCGGGUCUUUGCAGGGGAAAAUCAAGCAUUUCAACAUGGGGCCAUAGUCACAGGGCAGGAGGCUGGCAAUCAGUCUUCUCCAAUG